AUGAACGCUAGCUACAGGCUUAACACAUGCAAGUCGAGGGGCAGCAUGGUCUUAGCUUGCUAAGGCCGAUGGCGACCGGCGCACGGGUGAGUAACACGUAUCCAACCUGCCGUCUACUCUUGGACAGCCUUCUGAAAGGAAGAUUAAUACAAGAUGGCAUCAUGAGUCCACAUGUUCACAUGAUUAAAGGUAUUCCGGUAGACGAUGGGGAUGCGUUCCAUUAGAUAGUAGGCGGGGUAACGGCCCACCUAGUCUUCGAUGGAUAGGGGUUCUGAGAGGAAGGUCCCCCACAUUGGAACUGAGACACGGUCCAAACUCCUACGGGAGGCAGCAGUGAGGAAUAUUGGUCAAUGGGCGAGAGCCUGAACCAGCCAAGUAGCGUGAAGGAUGACUGCCCUAUGGGUUGUAAACUUCUUUUGUAAAGGAAUAAAGUCGGGUAUGGAUACCCGUUUGCAUGUACUUUAUGAAUAAGGAUCGGCUAACUCCGUGCCAGCAGCCGCGGUAAUACGGAGGAUCCGAGCGUUAUCCGGAUUUAUUGGGUUUAAAGGGAGCGUAGAUGGAUGUUUAAGUCAGUUGUGAAAGUUUGCGGCUCAACCGUAAAAUUGCAGUUGAUACUGGAUAUCUUGAGUGCAGUUGAGGCAGGCGGAAUUCGUGGUGUAGCGGUGAAAUGCUUAGAUAUCACGAAGAACUCCGAUUGCGAAGGCAGCCUGCUAAGCUGCAACUGACAUUGAGGCUCGAAAGUGUGGGUAUCAAACAGGAUUAGAUACCCUGGUAGUCCACACGGUAAACGAUGAAUACUCGCUGUUUGCGAUAUACGGCAAGCGGCCAAGCGAAAGCGUUAAGUAUUCCACCUGGGGAGUACGCCGGCAACGGUGAAACUCAAAGGAAUUGACGGGGGCCCGCACAAGCGGAGGAACAUGUGGUUUAAUUCGAUGAUACGCGAGGAACCUUACCCGGGCUUAAAUUGCAGAUGAAUUACGGUGAAAGCCGUAAGCCGCAAGGCAUCUGUGAAGGUGCUGCAUGGUUGUCGUCAGCUCGUGCCGUGAGGUGUCGGCUUAAGUGCCAUAACGAGCGCAACCCUUAUCUUUAGUUACUAACAGGUCAUGCUGAGGACUCUAGAGAGACUGCCGUCGUAAGAUGUGAGGAAGGUGGGGAUGACGUCAAAUCAGCACGGCCCUUACGUCCGGGGCUACACACGUGUUACAAUGGGGGGUACAGAGGGCCGCUACCACGCGAGUGGAUGCCAAUCCCAAAAACCUCUCUCAGUUCGGACUGGAGUCUGCAACCCGACUCCACGAAGCUGGAUUCGCUAGUAAUCGCGCAUCAGCCACGGCGCGGUGAAUACGUUCCCGGGCCUUGUACACACCGCCCGUCAAGCCAUGGGAGCCGGGGGUACCUGAAGUGCGUAACCGCGAGGAGCGCCCUAGGGUAAAACUGGUGACUGGGGCU
rnacentral:rRNA from 1 species